rnacentral:lncRNA from 1 species
GUCCAAUCAAGGAAACAGAAACCACUCGAGUAUUUAAAUAAGAAGGUGAUAUGGUUAGGCUUUGUGUCCCCACCCAAAUCUCAUCUUGAAUUGUAAUCCCCAUAAUCCCCAUGUGUCAAGGGAGAGACCAGGUGGAGGUAAUUGAAUCAUGGGGACGGUUCCCCCAUGCUGUUCUCAUGACAGUGAGUGAGUUCUCAUGAGAUCUGAUGGUUUAAUAAGGG